rnacentral:rRNA from 1 species
GCACAAGCGGUGGAGCAUUGUUGGUUUUAAUUCGAAGCAACGCGAAGAACCUUUACCAGGUUCUUGACAUCCCGAUGCUAUUUCUAGAGAUAGAAAGUUACUUCGGUACAUCGGUGACAGGUGGUGCAUGGUUGUCGUCAGCUCGUGUCGUGAGAUGUUGGGUUAAGUCCCGCAACGAGCGCAACCCCUAUUGUUAGUUGCCAUCAUUCAGUUGGGCACUCUAGCGAGACUGCCGGUAAUAAACCGGAGGAAGGUGGGGAUGACGUCAAAUCAUCAUGCCCCUUAUGACCUGGGCUACACACGUGCUACAAUGGUUGGUACAACGAGUUGCGAGUCGGUGACGGCGAGCUAAUCUCUUAAAGCCAAUCUCAGUUCGGAUUGUAGGCUGCAACUCGCCUACAUGAAGUCGGAAUCGCUAGUAAUCGCGGAUCAGCACGCCGCGGUGAAUACGUUCCCGGGCCUU